CUCAGGAUGAACGCUAGCGGCAGGCCUAACACAUGCAAGUCGCGGGGCAGCACGGGUAGCAAUACCUGGUGGCGACCGGCGCACGGGUGCGUAACGCGUAUGCAACCUGCCCCCAUCAGGGGAAUAGCCCGCCGAAAGGCGGAUUAAUGCCCCAUAGGCCCAGGGCGCCGCAUGGCGCUAUGGGUAAAGCUCCGGCGGAUGGGGAUGGGCAUGCGUGCCAUUAGCUAGUUGGGGCGGUAACGGCGCACCAAGGCGACGAUGGCUAGGGGGUCUGAGAGGAUGGUCCCCCACACUGGUACUGAGACACGGACCAGACUCCUACGGGAGGCAGCAGUGAGGAAUAUUGGUCAAUGGGCGGAAGCCUGAACCAGCCAAUGCCGCGUGCAGGAUGACGGCCCUACGGGUUGUAAACUGCUUUUCCCCGGGAAGAAUAAGCCCCUCGUAAGGGGUGAUGCCGGUACCGGGGGAAUAAGGAUCGGCUAACUCUGUGCCAGCCGCCGC
rnacentral:rRNA from 1 species